CGCUGGCGGCGUGCUUAAUACAUGCAAGUCAACUUGACUUUAGAUAGCAAUAUCGAAAAGUAGGGUGGCGCACGGGUGCGUAACGCGUAGGUAAUCUGCCCUGAGGUCUGACAUAACCCGUCGAAAGGCGGGCUAACAUCAGAUGAUAUAUAAUCACGACAUCGUGGAAAUAUCAAAUCUUCGGAGCCUUGGGAUGAGCCUGCGUCUGAUUAGGUAGCUGGCGGAGUAAUAGCCCACCAAGCCUACGAUCAGUAGCUGGUCUGAGAGGAUGAUCAGCCACACUGGAACUGAGACACGGUCCAGACUCCUACGGGAGGCAGCAGUAAGGAAUAUUGCUCAAUGGGGGAAACCCUGAAGCAGCAACGCCGCGUGAAGGAUGAAAUUACUUUUGUAUGUAAACUUCUGUAAGAUGGGAAAAAUAUUCUCCUCGGGAGAAUUGAUUGUACCAUCAGAGUAAGCCCCGGCUAACUACGUG
rnacentral:rRNA from 1 species